UCGUGGAUUAGUUUGUCUGGUUAAUCCCGUUAACGAACGAGACCUUGACGUACUAAUUAGAGCAUUACACUGUUGUGUUUUGUUCUGCUAGAGGGACCAUGUGUUACCAACACAAGGAAGCAUAAGGCAAUAACA
rnacentral:rRNA from 1 species